rnacentral:rRNA from 1 species
UACGUAGGGUGCGAGCGUUAAUCGGAAUUACUGGGCGUAAAGCGUGCGCAGGCGGUUUUGUAAGCCAGAUGUGAAAUCCCUCGGCUCAACCGGGGAACUGCGUCUGAGACUGGAAGGCUUGAAUUCGGGAGAGGGAUGUGGAAUUCCAGGUGUAGCGGUGAAAUGCGUAGAUAUCUGGAGGAACACCGGUGGCGAAGGCGGCAUCCUGGACCGAUAUUGACGCUGAUGCGCGAAAGCCAGGGGAGCAAACGGG